AAUCAGCUCCCUAGCUUAGCACCCAGGCUUUUUCGAUGUGGUGUGGUAGUAGGGCUGCUUCAUCACAUCACUUCCCAAGGUAAGAGAACACCCUUCACAUGGUUUCUGGUGCUCGCAAAGCAGCACACUGGCACAAGGAAAACAGACCUGCUCCACCUUGGAUAACUGUGUGGUCUGGAAGGCAGGACUCAGCUGAGCCCUAGGAACAUGCAGCAUGAGCUCUGUACGGAGAGGCCGAGCGUGUAUCCCACCCCAGGAAGGAUCAAGCAAGAGGUGGGAGGGAAGCCCAGCAGUGACGAAGUCUGGCCGGGACCUUGAGUGAGGACCGCCGCAGGGUCCAGUGAAGGUUCAGUCCAAUGCGGCUGUAGGAAGACUGGCUGAAAGAAUGAAUGGGGCAAACUCCCGUGGAAAAGCCAAGGAUGUUGAAGAAAAGACCUUUUUGACAGCCAGAUUAAUUUUUUCCACACACUUUGUACAACAUCAAAAGAAGGCUUUACUUUUUCUUGGGUAGAGAAAAAUACACAAUAAAUCAGUCUGCAGUAAGCAAA